rnacentral:rRNA from 1 species
CGAGGGGAGUGAAAAAGAACCUGAAACCGUGUACGUACAAGCAGUGGGAGCCCCACCACUAAGCCAGUGGUGAACUCCACAUACGCAUCCUUUGCUGAGGAUACGGUUAACGGAGCGAAAGCGACGUUCAACCGCAAAAAAAGAAGCAGAGGGGGCUUAGUGGUGGGGUGACUGCGUACCUUUUGUAUAAUGGGUCAGCGACUUAUAUUCUGUAGCAAGGUUAACCGAAUAGGGGAGCCGGAGGGAAACCGAGUCUUAAUUGGGCGUUAAGUUGCAGGGUAUAGACCCGAAACCCGGUGAUCUAGCCAUGGGCAGGUUGAAGGUUGGGUAACACUAACUGGAGGACCGAACCGACUAAUGUUGAAAAAUUAGCGGAUGACCUGUGGCUGGGGGUGAAAGGCCAAUCAAACCGGGAGAUAGCUGGUUCUCCCCGAAAGCUAUUUAGGUAGCGCCUCGUGAAUUCAUCUCCGGGGGUAGAGCACUGUUUCGGCUAGGGGGCCAUCCCGGCUUACCAACCCGAUGCAAACUGCGAAUACCGGAGAAUGUUAUCACGGGAGACACACGGCGGGUGCUAACGUCCGUCGUGAAGAGGGAAACAACCCAGACCGCCAGCUAAGGUCCCAAAGUCAUGGUUAAGUGGGAAACGAUGUGGGAAGGCCCAGACAGCCAGGAUGUUGGCUUAGAAGCAGCCAUCAUUUAAAGAAAGCGUAAUAGCUCACUGGUCGAGUCGGCCUGCGCGGAAGAUGUAACGGGGCUAAACCAUGCACCGAAGCUGCGGCAGCGACGCUGAUGCGUUGUUGGGUAGGGGAGCGUUCUGUAAGCCUGCGAAGGUGUGUCGUGAGGCAUGCUGGAGGUAUCAGAAGUGCGAAUGCUGACAUAAGUAACGAUAAAGCGGGUGAAAAGCCCGCUCGCCGGAAGACCAAGGGUUCCUGUCCAACGUUAAUCGGGGCAGGGUGAGUCGACCCCUAAGGCGAGGCCGAAAGGCGUAGUCGAUGGGAAACGGGUUAAUAUUCCCGUACUUGGUGUUACUGCGAAGGGGGGACGGAGAAGGCUAUGUUGGCCGGGCGACGGUUGUCCCGGUUUAAGCGUGUAGGUGUGUGUUCCAGGUAAAUCCGGUUCACUUUAACACUGAGGCGUGAUGACGAGGCACUACGGUGCUGAAGCAACAAAUGCCCUGCUUCCAGGAAAAGCCUCUAAGCAUCAGGUAACAUCAAAUCGUACCCCAAACCGACACAGGUGGUCAGGUAGAGAAUACCAAGGCGCUUGAGAGAACUCGGGUGAAGGAACUAGGCAAAAUGGUGCCGUAACUUCGGGAGAAGGCACGCUGACACGUAGGUGAAGUGAUUUACUCAUGGAGCUGAAGUCAGUCGAAGAUACCAGCUGGCUGCAACUGUUUAUUAAAAACACAGCACUGUGCAAACACGAAAGUGGACGUAUACGGUGUGACGCCUGCCCGGUGCCGGAAGGUUAAUUGAUGGGGUCAGCGCAAGCGAAGCUCCUGAUCGAAGCCCCGGUAAACGGCGGCCGUAACUAUAACGGUCCUAAGGUAGCGAAAUUCCUUGUCGGGUAAGUUCCGACCUGCACGAAUGGCGUAAUGAUGGCCAGGCUGUCUCCACCCGAGACUCAGUGAAAUUGAACUCGCUGUGAAGAUGCAGUGUACCCGCGGCAAGACGGAAAGACCCCGUGAACCUUUACUAUAGCUUGACACUGAACAUUGAGCCUUGAUGUGUAGGAUAGGUGGGAGGCUUUGAAGUGUGGACGCCAGUCUGCAUGGAGCCGGCCUUGAAAUACCACCCUUUAAUGUUUGAUGUUCUAACGUGGACCCGUGAUCCGGGUUGCGGACAGUGUCUGGUGGGUAGUUUGACUGGGGCGGUCUCCUCCUAAAGAGUAACGGAGGAGCACGAAGGUUGGCUAAUCCUGGUCGGACAUCAGGAGGUUAGUGCAAUGGCAUAAGCCAGCUUGACUGCGAGCGUGACGGCGCGAGCAGGUGCGAAAGCAGGUCAUAGUGAUCCGGUGGUUCUGAAUGGAAGGGCCAUCGCUCAACGGAUAAAAGGUACUCCGGGGAUAACAGGCUGAUACCGCCCAAGAGUUCAUAUCGACGGCGGUGUUUGGCACCUCGAUGUCGGCUCAUCACAUCCUGG